UUUCCUAGGAAGGGAUUUACAUACACUUUGAUACCGAAAAUAAUCUAUUGUCAAUUAGCUAGUUAGAUAUUUUCAAUAAUUUAUCCUCUUUGAUGUCAAGAUAAUUUGAAUAACGAUCGUCAUGCCACCACUUCGACAGAAGGUUGUAACAAGCUCGUUCGCCGAGGUCACUUUGAAAACAUUUUGGUAGCUAGCACACCCAGAGGGUUCACUAUUCUUCAAAAACUACGCCAAAGAAAACAGCUGUCACAGAAUUCAUAAAUAUUUUCCUUUCAGGCGAUCAGCUGACGUCCUACGGUGUGCCUCAAAACAGACGCUUGAUCUCUCGAAUAACAGAAAUUGAAACAUUAUCGCUGAAGAGAAGUCCGUGCGAAAUGUAGGUACGGCUUCUCUUCGUAUACCAGGAUUCAGUCUCAUCAGAUUAGCUUACGUUCGCUGUUAUUUUAAACGCUCUUUUUGUGAAGUAAAGAGGCGACUGCUGGCCAUUCAACAAAUACCUUUUCCAACGAGAACCUCGAGAAAUCUGCGGACGGCAAACGAAACACUGAAAGCAGCAACUUGAAAAGGGAGUAAAUGGCCUCUGUUCCUAUAAGCCAAGCGUACGUGCAACGUCUCACGAGGGAAACAGAACGUAAAUUGACCAAUCGUGAUAUGCAAAUACAGAUUGAGAAACAUGUCAAAAAACCUCCAGAGUGCUUCUUUCGAAGUGUUUGCUUUCUAGGUAAGAUUUCAGCAACUUGCCAAGACCAAAUGGUGGCGAUUUAUAUUGACUGAAAUGUCACCAAGACGUAACAUUGGAGGCUAGAAUUUAAGAAACAUAAUUUUGUUGUUGAUAUUUUGCGUCAACGCUUCUACAACGUACUUGAACUAAAGAGCCUCGCGAGCAAAAACAAUGACUGCCACGAACCUAAUCCCGAGUAGCACCAAUAUUUGAUGGUGACUUUAGCUCACUAUGUUACGCUAAUUUCAUAAAAAAGCACAACGUGUAGAUUUGACUUUUUCGAUGGUUAGCAUGGCUUUUACGAGUGAUUUUAUUGUCUGGAGGCUACGCUUCGUUGAGUAUCACUACUGCUUAAUUAAGACAUAGACAGAAGUUACAAGACAUCCCUCUAAAUUAUGCCUAAAUGGCAUUCAAUAAGUAGGGUCCUCUUUCAAACAUUGAGUGCCUACUUUCGAUUCGUUAAUGUUGAUGUUAAUUACCCUUUUUGGCCUCUGUAUCAUAUGCACAUAAAAUAAUCGAUUGUAAUCAUGCUCGUCAACACGAACGGCGUCUAACGCUCCAGCAUUGACUCAUCCUUUGUAGAAAUGUAAUAAAAUCAGUUGCGAUCAUAAA